UACGAAGGGUGCAAGCGUUAUUCGGAUUUACUGGGCGUAAAGGGUGUGUAGGUGGUGUGAUAAGUCUAUUGUUAAAGCUCCCGGCCUAACCGGGAAAAUGCAGUGGAAACUAUUGCGCUAGAGGGUGAGAGAGAGAAGUGGAAUUCUCGGAGUAGCGGUAAAAUGCGUAGAUAUCGAGAGGAACACCGAUGGCGAAGGCAGCUUCUUGGCUCAUUCCUGACACUGAAACACGAAAGCGUGGGGAGCAAACAGG
rnacentral:rRNA from 1 species